rnacentral:rRNA from 1 species
GAUGAACGCUGGCGGCGUGCUUAACACAUGCAAGUCGAACGGAAAGGCCCAAGCUUGCUUGGGUACUCGAGUGGCGAACGGGUGAGUAACACGUGGGUGAUCUGCCCUGCACUUCGGGAUAAGCCUGGGAAACUGGGUCUAAUACCGGAUAGGACCACAUUUUGGAUGGUGUGGUGGAAAGUUUUUCGGUGUGGGAUGAGCUCGCGGCCUAUCAGCUUGUUGGUGGGGUAAUGGCCUACCAAGGCGUCGACGGGUAGCCGGCCUGAGAGGGUGUACGGCCACAUUGGGACUGAGAGACGGCCCAGACUCCUACGGGAGGCAGCAGUGGGGAAUAUUACACAAUGGGCGCGAGCCUGAUGCAGCGACGCCGCGUGGGGGAUGACGGCCUUCGGGUUGUAAACUCCUUUCGCUAGGGACGAAGCGCAAGUGACGGUACCGGGAGAAGAAGCACCGGCUAACUACGUG